CGACCAAUUGUCUACUCAAUUUGUGAAUGGGGAGAAGAGAAUCCAGCAAAGUGGGCUGGGAGAUUUGGUAAUGCCUGGAGAACCACAGGUGACAUUCAAGACAAGCGGGACAGUAUCACAUCAAUUGCAGAUGGGAACAACAUUUGGGGAAGAUUUGCAGGGCCAGGCAG